AGUGACUAAUAGUUAAACGGCCGCGGUACCCUAACCGUGCAAAGGUAGCACAAUCACUUGUUCUUUAAAUCAGGACUAGUAUGAACGGCCCCACGAGGGCUGUACUGUCUCCCCCCUCCAAUCAGUGAAACUGACCCCCUCGUGAAGAAGCGAGGAUAAUCUCAUAAGACGAGAAGACCCCAUGGAACUUUAAACUAGCACCACCCCCCCCCCCCC
rnacentral:rRNA from 1 species